UGUAAGACUAAUUAUUCAAGUACAUUUGUUUAAAAUUUUGCACACAAGUAGUAAUUUUAUAUCAGUGAUACGUACUCAAAAGAAUGUGGAACAUGCCGACACUUUGUGAAAUCAUUUGUUACUUUUAUUACGCAGUAUGUGCUUGACGUGUGCUACGGAAGUAACGAAACGGUAUUAUUACUCAUUGUCAAUGCUUAAAAUAAAUUAUCAUCAACAAUUUGGUAUAAAUGCUACUCCUGCAUUGUUUGACAAUCAGUGUAAGUGCAAAAUUGCAAUAUGAAGUUAACAGUAGUGUGCCUAAUCGUGUUCGUCGUGGUUGCCGCCUUGAUUCAGGAAUCUGAACAAUUGUGGUAUAGAAGACGCGGAUAUCGUGGAAGAUGUAGGACGUCUACAACUUCUACAACAGUUCCUCCAUCAAGUGGUAGAAGAAGGCGCGAAAUUAUGGAUGUUCUAUUUUCACCAGAAUUUAAUUAAUGUGUAAAAAAAUGGAAAAGACCAAUUGCUGCGUAUAGAAGUUAAAAUGCUAAAACACAGAAUGUUUCACAAGCACAUCACUUAUAGUCCUACUGCACUAAAAAGGCAAACUAACACCUGAAAUCCCCCAAAAAAGUAAUAUGUAAUAAAGAGAUGUUUAAUGCUUAUAUAUAUAAUAUGGUACAUUGAUUAUCUUUUCUUAUCUUGAAUUUCAUACAAAAGUAAGCGCGAUAUUUUUAAUACGAGUAAAUAUUUGAUUCCGUAAACGCAAUGAAAAAAAUAUGAAUGCAUCCAUUAAAACUAGAUUAUAAUGAGAAAGAGAAAGAGAGAGAGUAUAAUGUUCUUUUCCUUGAAUAAUAUUAAAUUGUACUAUAUACAAUGUAAAUGCAAAAAUUACAGAAAAGUGGACGUUACGGCGAACGUAAAACAGAUAUGUCAAUUUCUUCAAUUUCUCGGAUGAAUUUAAUACAGAACACAGAUUAAUAUUAAUCUUCCACAUUUGAAGCUGCACAACUGAUUUACUUUUUAAAAGUGCAAUUUUGUUUUAUUAUUGAGUGGAAAAAUAAUGCGAUAAAUAACGCAUAUAUCAAUGUCACCAAAUCUAUCGAAAGCAACGCAUAUCGCGCGAAAAUUCCGCCAGAUUAUCGUACAAAUCUCUGUCGUACUUGCAAUAAGAAUUGGCAACAUCAUAAAAUGGCUCAUCUUGAAUGUAACAAUGAUCCGGAAAACACGACGAAAGGGGAAAAGUAAAAAAGAACGCUUUUAUCGAUAAGCAAUGCAAUUUUGUUUCAACAACGCAGGGCUUUCACUCUGUUAUGUAUAUAUUUUUUUUAUCGCUUUAUAGGCUUCGUUAGGUGGGCAUGCAUUUUUUCGGAAAUACGCCACGCAGUGUGCGCGCGGGACCUUCCGUGAUCGCGCGCGCGGCUGGCACACGUGCGUGAUUGGCAGAAAUUCAUUUCGAGCGAUUUACAUGUCGCGCGGAAAUUGCGUGUCUGGUGAGCGUAUGCCGUGAGGCCCUUUGUUUAGAUGGCAACGUUUGUCAUCAGUUCUCUCCGCGUAGGUGAGUUGUCGUACGGCAGCCGGUACGAGGGGCGGCACGAGAGGGUGACUCCAAGACAGCCGCCGGAAUAUUGGGCACAGAUGCAUGCAGACCAUCAAGAUUACUUACGACCUUCCGCGAUAAUACUCAAAAUGCUUAAAUCCGUACAUCGGGUCUUUGUGCUGUCUCAACAAUGGAUUUCGAUGUCAGCGGUUUCCUUUCCCAAUAAUAAUUUGUACUUCCUCUGUACCAACUAAGAUCAAUACGCGAACCGUUCAUUUAUGGAAAUUUCACGAAAGACUGUUUUUCAAUUUUCUUUCAUCAUUCUACUUGCUAUUAUCUUUUCGUUGUUCCAACCAUGUACAAAAUAUACACGAUAGCGGUCAAUCAGUUAAUGGAAAAUGUAACUUGGGAAAAAUGAUAAAGAAUGCUUGAUAAAUUCUCAAAAAGAUCUGCCACGAAGAGAUGUAAUCAAAAAAUCAGUCGCAUGGGAAAACUGAGUAAAAAAAGGUUUUAAUUGAAUUAAAUGAGGCAUUUGGCUAAAAGUAUCGCGGAAACAUUUUUAAGAGAUGAAUAUUUCUCGCGUGAAACGUUUUUCCUACGUGUAUGUAUGUAUGUAUGUGUUGUGUGUGUGUGUGUGUAUGUGUAUGUGCGCCGGUUGCACUAGCCAGGCCACAUGCAUCGGGUUCGCGAUGUUUGCCGAUCAAACAGACUUUAUAACGAGAUGAACGCGUGCAGCCUGUUGACGGAAAAUAUUGAACGAACGUAAGCUCCCGGCAUUGUCCUUGACAAAAGAGCGGCCAGUUUGUUCGCGUCCGAUGAAGGAACGUAUCCACCGCCGGGGCAGGACACGACCCCUCGCGUUCCUCGGAUCCGACACGAAACAAGCCUAUUCAGACAGUAUCGAGUGCUCCUGACACCGAUUCAUGGAAUAUCAAUUUAAUGGCCAGAACCAACAUUCGUUCGUGAUUGGUUCGGAGCGAAAUUUUCUCGUGGAAAAAUCGACGACAAGCGAAAAUAAGUCAAAUGUGAGAUUCUCGUUGCGAAAAUCUUCAUUGAAUUGAUUUUCAUGAUUAUCAUUUCCUAUUUGAAUCAAUAUAAAAUUAUAAUUCGCUAUCUUCCGAUAUAUUUAUAAAAUUAAAAAGUAUAUAGUCCUUAUGAAAACUUUUUGCACGAUUGUUAAAAGUGUAAGAAAUAAUGUAUUAAAGAAUUUUAGUUUAACAUUUAUUUUACGCAGCAACUUCCACGUCAAUUCUCAACACGAAUUAUCAUCAAAUCACAGCGUAAGAUUCUCGCUAUUCGAAUAUCAACGUUCAUAACGUCGUUAACAAAUGUCUGAAUUGUUCAAUACGUAACUCGUAAAAACGAUUGCUGUCUAGUAGGCGCCAAAUCUAGCAAACAUCGAACAUAAUGGCGACUGUUAGAAGCGCGUGAUGAACACUUGAGUUAGAAAUGCAAAUUAAUCGACGCAGAGAUCGCAAGUGAUCCAUUCAUCUACGUCCAUCCCUCUCUCACCGGUAUCAAACAGUGGCCUCGUAAUGGGAUAGCCCCGACCACAAUACACCCUUCAGCGAGGCGGAAGAGAAACAAGGAAACAGCAUUACCCGGGAAACGCGUCUGUAAUCCUGACCGAUCCAAGAACCAUCAGUAUCAAUGGAUGUAUCAGCAUCAUUGUCGCCAUCAUCGAAGUCGGACCCGGCUAUCACUUCGAGUGGUUGUACAGACAUUUCAACAAUGAAUUAUAUGAAAAAGAAAUAAAAGCGAUGCGUUAAGUAGAAUUUAAUGUCUGUAUCUUUCAUGAAAAGAAAAUUUUAUCAAUCUCAUCUCGAUAUCUCGCAAUCUAUUCUUUACGUUGUAAUCGAAAUUACAAUCUCAAUCUGCAAAAUGCAAAUGUAUCAUGUACUACCCACAUAAUAAAUUACACGGUCCAAAACACAACACGCGCAAUUGGAAUACACACGAUGCUAUCAUCGUCGACUAAUGAGGUUAUCAAAACGAAUUGGCCUGUACGAGCGGCGCUAUUUCAGCCGAUAAUUGGCGCGCCGUAUUAUCGCUAAUCACCGCGGAAGUGCCUCGACACGAAAGAUCGAUUAUUGCCGCGCGUCGAUCGAGACGUUAAGCUUUCGAAUCGCGUGAAAGCGAGCCGUGUAAUCCGCGUGAAUUUCCACGAAGCUUCGGUCAGUUGGAGAGAACGACAUUCACUCCAGAUCCAAGGAUUUAGGCGUGCGAUGCUUGAUGAAGAGGCCAUUGCGCUAAGUCUAACCAGCGCGCGCGGAGGAUCGGCCGUUAGGCUCGGCCGCUGGUACUCCGUUAGGCGGCUUACGAGGCAGUUACCAGGCUGUUACCAUGUCGAUGGUGCCACUUGUCUCGAGAGGCUACCUGCUUCAGCCUCGCACGGAUGAAUGACACGAUUUCGGCUUGGGCAUUCGGUCGUAUUUAACCCAUCAAUUCGGUCGGCUUCCAAACGAUGUCCACGCACGUUGAUAACGUUCCUCUACGACGCCGUUGUAUUCCGCCACAAAUUUUUCAAAUCAUCAUUUGACAA